UUUAAGAUUAUUUUCUUCUUUCAAACUAGCACUGUCUACCUAGAUUUUACACUGUACAGAAAUUUACAAAUGUUAUUAUGGUUCUGACCUUUUCUUCCCUGUCUGUCUUCUGUAGCAGAUGCUGCCAGUGUCCUGCCUGGAGACCCUUGGCACUUAGACCAACGUACAUGGAAAUGGUAUUUCUAACUGCCAGAAUCUGUGAUUCUGUCUGAGGAUGCUCUCUGGCCCCAUGAGCCUGAUCUUUCCUGAGUCAGACUGGAAGUGCCAAGCCUCUGAAUGACUAUUCUUAAAUUCCUUCGGAACUUAUCUUUCACUGAAGACCUAUAAGAUUUGGGGGAAGUAUUUCUAAAUCGGCACUGGAGAUACAACACUGAGCAAAGCAGACAGAACAGGUCAUCACAGAGUUUUCAAUGUGGCCGGGAAUACCUGAGGAGCGAAACAUCAGCACAAACUCCGAUACAGACCAUGGUAGGGAAACAUCAGUGUGUUGAGAUGUUUGAGUGACAUCAGUCCUUAACAUUGAACAUAAAACUAAGAGAAGAAAAUAAGCAUUCUGCGAAAUCUGGGAUUAACAUGAACUUGUGUUAAAAUAAGAAAGAAAAGGUGCUUGAAAAGGAUGUGAGGAUUAUCUGGAUCCCACACGCUAGGCGCAUCUUGAUCCUGGACAGCUGUGACUCCAAAGGAAGAAUGCCAUUUCGCCAUGUGGUACCUGCAUUGCUGUAGAGAGUCACCACUAACAACAAGAAGACCCUACCAGAUGUGUUCCCUGGACUUUGGACUUCUCAACUUCUGUAACUGUGCAGUGGAUGUCCUCACACCUUAACUUUAUGCCUGAUCAUCUGAUGUGCAUGGCCAAUAACCUAAUGGGAGAAGUUACUCUGCUGGUUCAAAGCCUACAGUUAAGAAGUUGUGUGCUUCAAUUGUACCUCUUGUACCUCUACAAUUGCCAGGAAAAACUGUGCCCAAGCUAGCCCAUAUAUCCAAGGAGAAGGAGAGAAACACGAGCUAAAUUGCCUCAGGUGAUCCAUAGAUCUGCAGUGAGGUGUAGUGCUGGCCCAGCUCUGCUUUCUGAAGCAGAGAUGUCCAGCAGGUUCCAGCCUAGAUCAGCCAACCCCAGCUCAUCUGCAUAUUUGUGAACCAUAAUAAAUUAAUAUUUGAAGCCAUUGAGUUUUGGAGUGAUUUGAAACUCAGCAAUAGAUUAUGGUUACAAUAGUCAAUAACAAUUCAGUCCAGACUGAGCUUUACUUGAGCCACUUUUUUUGUUCCCCCAUCCCACCCUCUGAGGUGUCAGAUGAAGGUCAGGUCCAUACAUUCUUUUGUCUCCUUUGGCUCAGAUGUGCAUCUCCCGCAAGUAACUAUUGAAAAGAGAGCACAGCUCCACAAAAACAAGUAGAAGUGUGCAGCACAGAGCCAUUAAACUACAUACUUAGAACAAGAAGCACAAACUCUAAAAAAUGCAAUUUCUGCAGAGACAAAUCUCUCAUUAAAGAGAAGCACCAUAAUAAAAUGCAUUCCACACAGAACAUUUGGCUCCUCUGUCUACAAUAUUGCAUUCAAGUUAAUGGUUUCUUCUCAGUUUUUCCUUCUAAAUAAGGAGUAUGUAAUUGCCUUAUAUGUGAGUAAUUAAAGGACUCAUUUAAGAAGUUUUCCUAGGUAGAAGAAAACUUAUGCAAAGAAUAAUUUAACUCCUUACCACUGAAAAGAGAGAAACAUUUGUAUUUUAAAAUGUCUUUUGGAGCUUCAGUUCAGACAAUAUGAUACAUCAGGAAAUAAGAACUCAUGAAAUAAGAGGAGCCUAAUACAUAUAUAUAUUUAUAUAUUUCACAUAUAUAGUUAUAUAUUCCACUUUUCCCACUUAAGGUAUUGUGUGCAUUUUUUAACGUUCAAAUUUCAUAAAGUAAUAUUCAUUACUGAAUAAUAUAUCAUAAAAUCAAUAUGCCAUAAUAUAUUUAACUUUCUAUUUAUCCUUCUAUUUUUUACAUUAAAGUUGUUUCCAAAUUUUUCCUAUUGUAAAUAAAAUUACAAGUGACCAUUCUUA